UACGGAAGGCAGCAGUGGGGAAUAUUGCACAAUGGGCGAAAGCCUGAUGCAGCUAUGCCGCGUGUAUGAAGAAGGCCUUAGGGUUGUAAAGUACUUUCAUCGGGGAGGAAAAAACAAAACUAAUAAUUUUAUUUCUUGACGUUACCCGAAAAAGAAGCACCGGCUAACUCCGUGCCAGCAGCCGCGGUAAUACGGAGGGUGCUAGCGUUAAUCAGAAUUACUGGGCGUAAAGAGCACGUAGGUGGUUUUUUUAAGUCAGAUGUGAAAUCCCUGGGCUUAACCUAGGAACUGCAUUUUGAAACUGAAAUACUAGAGUAUCGUAGGGGGAGGUAGAAUUCUAGGUGUAGCGGUGAAAUGCGUAGAUAUCUGGAGGAAUACCUGUGGCGAAAGCGGCCUCCUAAACGAAUACUGACACUGAGGGUGCGAAAGCGUGGGGAGCAAACGAGGGAUUAGAUACC
rnacentral:rRNA from 1 species